GAACCAGGGAACACUUGAGAAAAAAGUUGCCCAGCAAAUCAAGAGAGAUCCGAGCUUGAAAGGAAAAUCCGAGCAAAACGCCUCUAACCAGAGCACCGCCAGCAGGGUGUGGCCAGUACUGCGGAUUACAUAAACCAAGAGAGACUAAUACUGAACAAAAGAUGACUGAGGCUGGCGAACUGAAGAAAAUAUUGAAGGCCACACUGAAGAAUCUGCGGAGAAGAAGCUUUAAAUCCUUCAAGAACAGUCUCCUGGACUGUGAGGUGCCCGACGGGUAUGAAAGAGUUACCCUGAGUGAAUUGGAAGAGGCAGAUCGAGAGAAAGUGGUUGAUCUCAUAAUCAGCUACUACACAACAAAGCACGCACCCCAAAUCGUUACAAAAGUGCUGAAAGAUAUCAACGAAAGGCAGGCCUGUCUAGAUCUGGAAACGGAAUUAAAGAGAAGUGAGUACAACACUCUCUUGAAGACCAUCCUUUAAACUACAGUGGUCUCUUUCUAUUUGUUAUAAUACACUCCUAUGUAUUUGCGCAUACACAGAAGGUUAUAAAAGCUAUGAGCAUGUAACAAUAAAUUGAACAAGUUUGAACUGCGUCCAUGGUUGCCUCCUUCU